rnacentral:rRNA from 1 species
GACGAACGCUGGCGGCGUGCCUAAUACAUGCAAGUAGAACGCACAGUUUAUACCGUAGCUUGCUACACCAUAGACUGUGAGUUGCGAACGGGUGAGUAACGCGUAGGUAACCUGCCUGGUAGCGGGGGAUAACUAUUGGAAACGAUAGCUAAUACCGCAUAAUAUUAAUUAUUGCAUGAUAAUUAAUUGAAAGGUGCAAUUGCACCACUACCAGAUGGACCUGCGUUGUAUUAGCUAGUAGGUGAGGUAACGGCUCACCUAGGCGACGAUACAUAGCCGACCGGAGAGGGUGGUCGGCCACACUGGGACUGAGACACGGCCCAGACUCCUACGGGAGGCAGCAGUAGGGAAUCUUCGGCAAGGGACGAAAGUCUGACCGAGAAACGCCGCGGGAGUGAAGAAGGUUUUCGGAUCGUAAAGCUCGGUUGUAAGAGAAGAACGGGUGUGAGAGUGGAAAGUUCACACUGUGACGGUAUCUGACCAGAAAGGGACGGCUAACUACGUG